rnacentral:Y_RNA from 1 species
GGCUGGUCCCAGUGUGGUGGUGUUUAUAACUAAUUACAACCAGUUACAGAUUUCUUUGUUCCUUCUCCACUCCCACUGCUUCACUUGAAUAGCCUAAG